rnacentral:rRNA from 1 species
CCUACGGGUGGCAGCAGUGAGGAAUAUUGGUCAAUGGGCGGGAGCCUGAUCCAGCCAAGCCGCGUGAGGGAUGAAGGUACUACGUGUGGUAAGCCUCUUUUGUCAGGGAACAAAGGCUGGCACGUGUCCCCGAAUGCGUGUACCUCAAGAAAAAGCAUCGGCUAACUCCGUGCCAGCAGCCGCGGUAAUACGGAGGGUCCGAGCGUUAUCCGGAUUUAUUGGGUUUAAAGGGUGCGCAGAGGGGUUGUUAAGUCAGCUGGGAAAGCUCGGGGCCCAACCCCGGGACUGCAGUUGAAACUGGCAGGCUGGAGUACAGGAGAGGUAGGCGGAAUUCGUGGUGUAGCGGUGAAAUGCGUAGAUAUCACGAAGAACUCCGAUUGCGAAGGCAGCCUGCUGGACUGAAACUGACGUUGAGGCACGAAAGCGUGGGUAGCGAACAGGAUUAGAUACCCGAGUAGUC